AGUGAACGCUGGCGGCAUGCCUAACACAUGCAAGUCGAACGGCAACACAGUAAGAGCUUGCUCUUACGGGCGGCGGGUGGAGGAAGGGUGCGGAAUACGUCGGAAUCUACUUUUUCGUGGGGGAUAACGUAGGGAAACUUACGCUAAUAUCUCAUAAGACCUACGGGUGAAAGCAGGGCAUCUUCCGACCUUGCGCGCUUGAAGGAGCCGAUGUCGGAUUAGCUAGUUGGCGGGGUAAAGGCCUACCAAGGCGACGAUCCGUAGCUGGUCUGAGAGGAUGAUCAGCCACACUGGAACUGAGACACGGUCCAGACUCCUACGGGAGGCAGCAGUGGGGAAUAUUGGACAAUGGGCGCAAGCCUGAUCCAGCCAUACCGCGUGGAGGAAGAAGGCCUUCGGGUUGUAAAGUGCUUUUGUUGGGAAAGAAAAGCAGCAGUUUAAUACCGCGCUGUUCUGACGGUACCGAAAGAAUAAGCACCGGCUAACUACGUG
rnacentral:rRNA from 1 species